rnacentral:rRNA from 1 species
CCUACGGGAGGCUGCAGUGGGGAAUAUUGCUCAAUGGACGAAACUCUGAUGCAGCCACGCCGCGUGAACGAUGAAUUCUCUCUGUGUUUUAAGCUUCUUUUAUAUGGGAGUAAAAUGUUGCACGUGUGGAAUUAUCUAUGUACAAUAUGAUUCCGGCUCGCCUAACUCCGUGCCAGCGGCCGCGGUAAUACGGAGGGGCCGAGCGUUAUCCGGAUUUAUAGGGUCUAGAGGGAGCGUAGGUGGACUGUUAAGCCAGUUGUGAAGGAUUGAGGCUCAACCGUAAGAUUGCAGUUGGAACUGGCAGUCUUGAGUGCAGGAGAGGUAGGCGGAAUUCGUGGUGUAGCGGUGAAAUGCUUAGAUAUUACGAGGAACUCCGAUGGCGAAGGCAGCUCACUGGACUGCAACUGACACUGAGGCUCGAAAGUGUGGGGAUCAAACAGGAUUAGAUACCCCAGUAGUC